rfam:Prevotella sp. oral taxon 306 str. F0472 ctg120004305441, whole genome shotgun sequence.
GCCAGAAUGUCAGCGAUUACGGUCGCAGGCAGCGUGCAUUAGUAAAUUCAGUAACCCACCAGUACACGUAAAUGGUGCGCAAAAGCCCCGUGGCAAUGCGUCGUGGCUGGUUAUGGUAUUCCAAUCUGUUGGGUGGUUAUCAGUCUUUGCUUCGCAUUUCCUUUAUGGGCUUGCAAACAGGGGCUGUUCCCAUGCUUCAUUUAAUGAGUGGUUACUACACUU